rnacentral:rRNA from 1 species
GAGUUUGAUCCUGGCUCAGGACGAACGCUGGCGGCGCGCCUAACACAUGCAAGUCGAACGAGCGAGAGAGAGUUUACUUCUUCGAGCGAGUGGCGAACGGGUGAGUAACGCGUGAGGAACCUGCCUCAAAGAGGGGGACAACAGUUGGAAACGACUGCUAAUACCGCAUAAGCCCACGACCCGGCAUCGGGUAGAGGGAAAAGGAGCAAUCCGCUUUGAGAUGGCCUCGCGUCCGAUUAGCUAGUUGGUGAGGUAAUGGCCCACCAAGGCGACGAUCGGUAGCCGGACUGAGAGGUUGAACGGCCACAUUGGGACUGAGACACGGCCCAGACUCCUACGGGAGGCAGCAGUGGGGAAUAUUGCACAAUGGGGGAAACCCUGAUGCAGCGACGCCGCGUGGAGGAAGAAGGUCUUCGGAUUGUAAACUCCUGUUGUUGAGGAAGAUAAUGACGGUACUCAACAAGGAAGUGACGGCUAACUACGUGCCAGCCGCCGCGGUAAUAC